AUACUCUAACAGCCCUAACCAAACGAUCCCUACACUCCUCUUCCACCAAACAAGAACUAACACUCCUCUCCUCUCUCUCUUCCACCUCGCCGCCACCCCCCUUUACCCAUCAGGCCAUCGGGUAAAGCCGAUUUUGGCGUCACUGACGCCGCCUCCCAUCAACCCCUGUCCCUUUCUCCCCUUUUCUUCAAGUGACAGAGCUUCGAACAGCUCGUCCAAAGUCGAAUCAGCCCCCAAAUCAAAAAGCACGCGAACAUCUUUGGGAUUCUAGACCGUUCUUCCAACAAUCCAAGGCAAAAGCCUCAUGAACAAGCUGUUGAAACACCUAAGACUUUGGCUAUAAAUACCAGCCUCCAUGGGAUGUUUUAGGACAGUUCUCGGCUGAGGAAGGACCACUUCGAGCGGAUUCGAAGACUCGACGACGACAAUAGCCUCAGUUCGCUGUCCCGGAGAAGCCUUGGGAGCAUUUGGAGUUAUGGCAACUCCGGAUUCUGCCCAUAUCAGAGAACAGCCAGUAGCAGAUUUAAUUGCUUGUGUCUAGCCGUCCCCUACUUUCGCGUCUCGAGUUUCCGCUCUUCCUUUAUUCAAAAUUUUAAGCCUUCAUAUUGUUUGAUAACAUGCUAUUUAUAUUAUUUGACUAACACUCUUGUGAAUUUGUAUUUUUUGUAGUUUUGUUUUGAACUCGUAACUUGACUUAAGUAUGUUAGUAAGUUUAGUCAUUAUCUUUCC